AAACAUAGCCGUUACAGGAGGAGGUGUGCAGACAGGUGCAGUUCUGGAGGCAAAUAACUUUCAAGGGCAGGUUAUAAGUCGCAACAAUUAUACUGGUGAGAAUGACCAAUAAUACAUUGUAUUUUAUUGCAAUUUAAUUAUGUAACAUUUUGAAUUGUACUAAUAUUUGUUUGACAAUGUCCAUUUACAUUCUUGAGCUGAGAAUGAAAGGAAUUACUUCCUCUGAUUUAGUAAACAGCAAUGACUGACUGAGUGUACUGUAGGUAGGCCACUGUAACCGCUUCUCUUCAAUUACAGGACCUCCAGCCAGAGAAGGAGCAGGUCCUGUUGCACCCAGAGAACAAACUGGUACUUGCCUCAGCUUGAAUGAUUGCUUCACGUUCAUGUGAAAGUGGCAUUAUCAUUAUGUAAUGAAAAUCUUGUUACUUUUUGUCUUUCGAACUGGAGAUGGGACCAUCAACAUACGGAAUGAGGGCAGCCAAUCACAUCAACCCAUUGCACUCGGCAAUACAUUUGGCGGCGACGUGGUUUUGGAACAGAAUAUUAACUUACAGCCUCCAGGACAAAACAAUGAGAGGGAAAAUGAAGAACGGAUGGAUCUGAAAUAAGAUGAAACAGGCCACCACCUCAUUCAAGAUUAGCCUUAGUAAUUAGAUUUAUACUAAACUUUGUUCAUCUCACUAGUUGAUUUGUACUUAAUAAAAUCACCACUAGUGUCUCAACAGUCCUCCUGAUUCUGAUCAUGGUUUAGUGUGCAUUGAGGCAGAAGAUCCUGAAGGUGCUCAUACAUCCAUAUUUUAUUAGAACGUUUUUUUUUUUUUCAAUCAAAAAGA